AUUGAACGCUGGCGGCAGGCCUAACACAUGCAAGUCGAGCGGUAGAGAGGAGCUUGCUUCUCUUGAGAGCGGCGGACGGGUGAGUAAUGCCUAGGAAUCUGCCUGGUAGUGGGGGAUAACGUUCGGAAACGGACGCUAAUACCGCAUACGUCCUACGGGAGAAAGUGGGGGAUCUUCGGACCUCACGCUAUCAGAUGAGCCUAGGUCGGAUUAGCUAGUUGGUGAGGUAAAGGCUCACCAAGGCGACGAUCUUUAGCUGGUCUGAGAGGAUGGCCAGCCACAUCGGGACUGAGACACGGCCCGGACUCCUACGGGAGGCAGCAGUCGGGAAUAUUGGACAAUGGGCGCAAGCCUGAUCCAGCAAUACCGCGUGUGUGAAGAAGGCCUGCGGGUUGUAAAGCACUUUCAGUUGG
rnacentral:rRNA from 1 species